rnacentral:rRNA from 1 species
UAGGGAAUCUUCCGCAAUGGGCGAAAGCCCGACGGAGCAACGCCGCGUGAGUGAUGAAGGUCUUCGGAUCGUAAAACUCUGCUAUUAGGGAAGAACAAAUGCGUAAGUAACUAUGCACGUCUUGACGGUACCUAAUCAGAAAGCCACGGCUAACUACGUGCCAGCAGCCGCGGUAAUACGUAGGUGGCAAGCGUUAUCCGGAAUUAUUGGGCGUAAAGCGCGCGUAGGCGGUUUUUUAAGUCUGAUGUGAAAGCCCACGGCUCAACCGUGGAGGGUCAUUGGAAACUGGAAAACUUGAGUGCAGAAGAGGAAAGUGGAAUUCCAUGUGUAGCGGUGAAAUGCGCAGAGAUAUGGAGGAACACCAGUGGCGAAGGCGACUUUCUGGUCUGUAACUGACGCUGAUGUGCGAAAGCGUGGGGAUCAAACAGG